rnacentral:rRNA from 1 species
UACAGAGGGUGCAAGCGUUGCUCGGAAUCAUUGGGCGUAAAGGGUAGGUAGGUGGUCUCAUUUGUCUGGGGUGAAAGCCUUGAGCUUAACUCGAGAAGUGCCCUAGAAACGGUGAGACUGGAGUCUUGGAGAGGGUCGUGGAAUUCCCGGUGUAGCGGUGAAAUGCGUAGAGAUCGGGAGGAACACCAGAGGCGAAGGCGGCGACCUGGACAAGUACUGACACUCAACUACGAAAGCGUGGGGAGCAAACAGG